rnacentral:rRNA from 1 species
AGUGAACGCUGGCGGUAGGCCUAACACAUGCCAGUCGAACGGCAGCACAGUAAGAGCUUGCUCUUACGGGUGGCGAGUGGCGGACGGGUGAGGAAUACAUCGGAAUCUACUUUUUCGUGGGGGAUAACGUAGGGAAACUUACGCUAAUACCGCAUACGACCUACGGGUGAAAGCAGGGGAUCUUCGGACCUUGCGCGAUUGAAUGAGCCGAUGUCGGAUCAGCUAGUUGGCGGGGUAAAGGCCCACCAAGGCGACGAUCCGUAGCUGGUCUGAGAGGAUGAUCAGCCACACUGGAACUGAGACACGGUCCAGACUCCUACGGGAGGCAGCAGUGGGGAAUAUUGGACAAUGGGCGCAGGCCUGAUCCAGCCAUACCGCGUGGGUGAAGAAGGCCUUCGGGUUGUAAAGCCCUUUUGUUGGGAAAGAAAAGCAGCAGGUUAAUACCCCGCUGUUCUGACGGUACCCAAAGAAUAAGCACCGGCUAACUUCGUG